AUUCCAACUCUGGGGGUGGUGCUCAUCUCCAUUUCUAAGCUGAAGAGCCAGUGUUGUCCAUAGACGCCUCCUAGGUCAUGUGGCCGGCAUGACUGCAUGGAGUGCUGUUACCUUCCAGCGGAAGCAGUACCCAUUGAUCUACUCACAUUUGCAUGUUUUUGAACUGCUAGGUUGGCAGAAGCUGAGGCUAACAGUGGGAGCUCACCCUGUCCCACAGAUUUGAACCACCAACCAUCCGUCAGCAAGUUCUGCAGCUUAGCAGUUUAACUCGCUGUGCCACCAUGGCCUCUAUAUCCAACACCUAAGGGACUGUUUUAAAGACCAGAUGCCUGACUGUCAAGCUUAGGCAGGGAAAGAACAUUCAAAAAUAUUUUCCUCAAAUGACGGAAAGAUGUAUUUUUUCAAAUGUCAUGAAAUAUUAAUUACAAAAUUUUUGACUGCACAAUAUUCAAAUGUGGUUGUUCCAUGUGGAAAACACUUUCUGCACAAGAAAGGUAUUUUCUAUGAUGAAAAUAUUUCCCUCAGAAAUAUUUCCUACAUAGAAAAAUCUGUACUGAGAACUCGUUUUGCAGAAAAGUUGCAUGCAGGUUAUUUGCACAGAGAAUGGCAUUUUCCAUAUACUUCUACAUACAAAUAUUACUUUCUGUAUAGAAAAUGCUGGUUCCAACCAUGUACAAAUUUUGCAUAGAAUGAAUCAGUCUUCAAAAAUGGUGUGAUUUUUUCAGGGGGAAGAAUGCUAAAAUUACCAAUUGCUUCUUUUGAGAAGAAAGAGAAGAAUUAUAUCCCUAGUCAAGGUCAAGCCAUUAUAAAUCAUCUGCCAGCAGAGGAGAAUCUUUGUUGGAGAGAACUGAUUGACAACCUUGCAAGUGUAUGGCUUUCUUGAAUUCCUGACCCCCUUUGACCAUCUAUAAAGUCUUCCAACUAGGAUGGCAUCUGAACAAAAGACUCAGCACUGAUCACUCAACCUUCCGUACUCACAUAAGGAAUGGUGAAAACCGGGAACUAAUCUGCUCUCAGGGUUUUUUGGGGGUUUGGAAAACCUUUACUGAAAAACAAGUCCAUAUUUCAUUGAUGUCAGAUGCUGUCAACUGGCCAACACCAAGAAAACACUGCCUCAGACCUGAAUUAAAUGUAUGAAGUUGUCACUACUUAUGCCAGUAAAACCAUACUUGGAAUGGACAUUGGAAACAUAUAAACAGACCAUGAAGAAAAAGGUGUCAUUAUCCCACCAGUGGUUUACUGAUGUUCUAGCACAGCUGUAACCUAGUUAAGAUGCUGAAGUAGGAUUGCAUGAGUUUAGAUGCUACUUUGUGAUUAAUUUAGUAGAUUAUCUUGAAAAGUUUAGUCUUCUGAGCAUUGCCCUCUUCUGGAAAUAUCUGUAUUGAAAUAAUGGCCUAUUGAAAAGUUGUCAUAUAAACUGUU